rnacentral:rRNA from 1 species
UACGUAGGGUGCAAGCGUUGUCCGGAAUUAUUGGGCGUAAAGAGCUCGUAGGCGGUCUGUCGCGUCGGCUGUGAAAACCCGGGGCUCAACCCCAGGCCUGCAGUCGAUACGGGCAGACUAGAGUGCGGUAGGGGAGACUGGAAUUCCUGGUGUAGCGGUGAAAUGCGCAGAUAUCAGGAGGAACACCGGUGGCGAAGGCGGGUCUCUGGGCCGUAACUGACGCUGAGGAGCGAAAGCGUGGGGAGCGAACAGG